UACGAAGGGGGCUAGCGUUGCUCGGAAUCACUGGGCGUAAAGCGCACGUAGGCGGUCCGGUAAGUCGGUUGUGAAAACUGGGGGGCUCAACCCUCAGAGGCCGACCGAUACUGUCGGGCUAGAGUCCGGAAGAGGCGAGUGGAAUUCCUGGUGUAGCGGUGAAAUGCGCAGAUAUCAGGAGGAACACCAAUGGCGAAGGCAGCUCGCUGGGACGGUACUGACGCUGAGACGCGAAAGCGUGGGGAGCAAACAGG
rnacentral:rRNA from 1 species